CCCUUAGAUGUCCUGGGCUGCACGCGCGCUACACUGACGAACUCAACGAGCUUAUCACCUUGGCAGAGAUGUCUGGGUAAUCUUUUGAAAGUUCGUCGUGCUGGGGAUAGAUGAUUGUAAUUAUUCGUCUUGAACGAGGAAUUCCUAGUAAGUGUGAGUCAUCAGCUCGCGCUGAUUACGUCCCUGCCCUUUGUACACACCGCCCGUCGCUCCUACCGAUUGAAUGGUCCGGUGAGGUUCUCGGAUUUUUUCUGUUGUUUGGUUCGUUAAACGAUUGAAGAGAGAAGUUACCCAAACCUUACCAUUUAGAGGAAGGAGAAGUCGUAACA
rnacentral:rRNA from 1 species